rnacentral:rRNA from 1 species
AUUGAACGCUAGCGGGAUGCCUUACACAUGCAAGUCGAACGAUUGCCGAACGGGUGCGUAAUGUAUCUGACCGUGCCCAUUAGCGGGGGAUAACUACGCCAAUCGUAGCUAAUACUGCUACCUCUUGGAGUGGCCGAUCUCGGAGUAGCUAGUUGGUGGGGUAACGGCUCACCAAGGCGACGAUCCGUAGCUGGUUUGAGAGGACGACCAGCCACACUGGGACUGAGACACGGCCCAGACUCCUACGGGAGGCAGCAGUGGGGAAUUUUGGACAAUGGGGGAAACCCUGAUGCAGCCAUCCCGCGUGUGCGAAGAAGGCCUUCGGGGUGUAAAGCACUUUUGGCCGGAAAGCGGUACCUGCAGAAUAAGCACCGGCUAACUACGUGCCAGCAGCCGCGGUAAUAC